AGGAUAAACGCUGGCGGCGUGCCUAACACAUGCAAGUCGAACGCCCUUGAGCAAUCAAGGGAGUGGCGGACGGGUGAGUAACACGUGGGUACCUACCCCAAGGUGAGGAAUACCGGCGAGAAAUCGCCGACAAUACCGCAUAGGCUUCGUAAGAAGCAAAGCUCGCAAGGGCGCCAUGGGAAGGGCCUGCGGCCGAUUAGCUAGUUGGUGAGGUAAAAGCUCACCAAGGCGACGAUCGGUAGCUGGUCUGAGAGGAUGAUCAGCCACACUGGGAUUGAGAACGGCCCAGACUCCUACGGGGGGCAGCAGUGAGGAAUUUUCGUCAAUGGGGGAAACCCUGAACGAGCAACGCCGCGUGCAGGAAGAAGGUUUUCGGAUCGUAAACUGCUUUUCUCUGGGACGAGAACGGACGGUACCAGAGGAAUCAGCCCCGGCUAACUACGUGCAGCAGCCGC
rnacentral:rRNA from 1 species